UUGGGAGGCAGCUCCCGGAGCUCAGCCGCUCCAGCAUCUGAGUACUUGCAGCUGGAGGAGGAGGCGGUUCAUCAAAAUCCUGGGAGGCGAGAGCAGAAAUGAUCGGCAGGGCUAGAAGGGCAGGCGAGCGGGACAGCCUUCGGAGCCAUCGGGCCGCCACUCUCUCCACAGUCUCUGCGGACCAGCAAGUAGUUUUAUCACAUCCAGGACUCGAGACUGAUUCUGCGCGCGGUGAAGAUGGAGCAGCCGAGAGGCUGGGAGAAAACCUGCAUGUUCUAGGUGCUGCCACUUGUAGAAAGUGGACAGACAAUGACCGAUGAAGUUUGGGAAGUGCUCCUUCCCAAACCUAUUUGUAUUUCAAGUUCUGAGUUGACUUACUAAAAUGCAGAGCAGGGAAAAGUACAUCAUGUUGUUCCUCUUGCCCCUAAUUUUCACUACCGUGCAACAUUUCCCAAUCACCUGAACAAAACCCAGAACUUUUAUCUCUCAUUUAACUUACACCUUGGAAGGAUAGCUUUAAGAUCCAUCAACCUCUGCCAUAUUUAAUUCUCCUUCCCCUAUCCGGAUAGCAAAUAUUGUUUCUCCACUUUUCCUGUGUGUGCAAUACCUUGGCCAGAAUCGUGGAGGGAAUCCAUGGAAGAAUCUGUGUUAUGCUGAGAAGAAUUCAGUGAUUCAUGACUGAAAGGGCUGAAUACCAAACCCAAGCCCAAUCAUGUGGAAGCCAAGAAAACUCUAUUAUCCCAUCAUUCCAGAAAGAGCAUUGGACAUUAAGAACAUGAGAGUAACUCUGCUGGAUCAGGCCAAGGGUCCAUCUAGUCCAGUGUUCUGUUUACACAGCGUCACCCCCGCUGCUCACAGGAAAGCCACAAAAAGGAGAUGAGUAGAGCAGCACCCUCAUGCAUACGGCAGUCGGGACUCUGUCCUGAACCUUCUACCAAUUCAUCAGAUUAUAAUUUAUUUGUCAAGAGCAUAAUCUUCUGUAUGUUUAGACAGGAAAAAGUCUUACAACUCAUAUUCCAAUGGAGCAACAUGUCUGUUACCUGUGGAUGACCUGAAGAGGAGAACCUCUUGUAUUAUAUUCUAAACUGUUCUUUAUAUUGUAAACCUAGAGAAAAUUUUUGACUCGUAUGCUACCUGCUGUUAAUGCUUACUCUGAUUCUGAGAAAUUAUUGUUUUUCUUAUCACGUGCUGAUCCAUAUGUCUCUUAUUGAGUUUCUCUUUUUGCUCUUGCAGCUAAAAAGAUAAAAGCUGGGAGGCUUUAAAGGGGACACCAUCAUGAAUUAUGCCUGGUCCUUCUUUUAGUAUUAUGUUUUGAUAUACUUGAUUUAUGGUUUUAUUUGUUAGUCUGAUGUUUACCUUGUUAUCUUGUAAUGGCCCAUGGCUAAAUAUAAUAAACUUACUGACUCUGACUUUGA